UUUCGGCGGCCAUAGCGGGAGGGUCACACCCGGUCUCAUUUCGAACCCGGUCGUUAAGCCUCCCAGCGCCGAUGGUACUGCCUCCAUGGUGCGGGGUGGGAGAGUAGGUCGCCGCCGGACU
rnacentral:rRNA from 1 species